rnacentral:lncRNA from 1 species
AUUUGUUGACUUUUCAGAAUUGUGAAGUGGAGGAUUAAGUGGGAUCAUGUUUAUAAAACAGCUAGCACACGCCUUGCCCGUAUUAAUUUGUAUCUAAUAGAUUCUCCAUAACUUUCACUUUAAAGGGGUGAAAAGAUUUUUAAGGAAGCUCCGGAAUCAAGAUUUUUACAGUGGGCCAGUUUUCAAAGUGAGAUAGUUUGUAUAAGGAAAACCUUUAACUUUCUAAAGGGAUUUUUCCCAUGCAAAAGUUUUUUGUUUUAAAAAAUGUUAAGGAACUCGAGGCCACAGCUGAUGGAGGUGUGGAGAGAGUGAAUUCUGGUCUCAACUGGAUCUCAGCUGGAUACAAACAAGCUCCGGGAUCUUGGGAAACUGGAAUGACUUUCCUGGGACUUGGUUUACCCCUCCCCCUUGCCCAGCUUUCCUCCUCUUCCCUGAGGGGCUUCACAAAAGCCAGGGAAACGAAACAAAACAAGGAUACAAGGGUUUUUGAAGUCAUUGUGGCCUGAAUUUGAAUCUCAUCUCUGUCUUAUUUGACUUGGAUAACCUUGGGCAAGUGACUUGGGCACUGUGGGCAUUCGCUUCGCUGCCUUAAGCUGAUGGGAAUUACGAUGCGUGGAGGCCAUGGAGCAUUCCAGGAGACUCUGGAAGCAAAACAUCUAGUGCAGACAUUUAUGAAGCAAUAUGCUACCGGCUGCAGUGGGAAAUUUAGCUGCAUUAAUCAUAAGAAAGGAUUCCAUGUCUGGCUCUAAAGCCCAUGUUGUUUCCACGACACCUGCUUCAAACAGGUUUGUAUACACAGUGUCUCCCCCAGCAUAUAUAACAGCUCCAAGUAAACACACACAAUGAGCCAUCUCCUGCACACAAAUGUCGCUUGUCAACAAACACUGGUUUGACAAAGAGGCCUCAUCCUGUGUGUUUGGAUAAAUGCCUGAAAGAAUACUUGCAUGUGACUGUUGAAAGGCGCUUUCUCUAAACCAUAAGCAAUAACUAAAUCUAUCCAUAAGGACUUUUUCUGGGGGACAACAUUCUCUUCCCAGAGAUGGGAAAGAUGGUUGCUGAGAUGAAUUACAGAGCAACAGGAGGCAGAGAGCAACACCUUUGCUUUGGCUUAGAAGCUCUCUGGGAAGACAUGGUUUGCAGAAGGUUGGGGAAGGACCUCCAGAUCCACCUGAAGUCUCUACUGGCUCCCCCAGCACAGCUUCCAGGGCAGCAAAUUUGCAGGAUGCCCUUUUGUCUCAAUUCUUGAGCCUCUGAAUGGGGACUCAGGAAGGCGGUGAACACAGGACCUUGGCAUGAUCUGUUGAGAGCAUAAGGAUGAAAGCAGAAGACAUGGUCCAAGGGCAAACUGUUUGCAUCUCCCAAGGCCUGAUCUUUAUUGUCCUGUCCCUAAGGUCUCCGCCCCAAGGGUAUCCCUGUGUCUUCAGGGCUAGAGGUAACUGAGGCCUUCCAUGACUUUCUAUGUUUACCAUCAAUGUUGCCUACUAGAGGAACACCAGUGGCAUCAGGACAGCUGAGAGUCAGCAUCCUACCUACGGAAUCCAGAAGAAGCCCCUAACUUGAAUCAGGCAACCAGGGACAAGAGAGAGUAUUACAACCUGUGCACGUAACUCUGGUCUGCGUGGCCUUAACUCCAAACUUGCAAGGCAGGAAACUGUACUUUGAAGAAGUAAAUUCCGCCUUAGAGCCCCAGAAUCUGUCACAGAGGCAGACUUCCGUGAUGACUUACUGAAAGAAUGGCUGAACGAAUGAUACAUACCAGCAUCUCAUCAACCCAAAGGCAAAUAUAAAAAUAUCUCUUGGGCCAAGAAAACACUUGUGCAAAACCAGGCACCCUUUACUCACAGGUAGGAACACUCAGUAAAAAAUCAGGUAAUGAUUCAGGGGGUAGCCAGUGACCAAUUCAAUAACUACCCGUAACUUCAAGCUAUCCAAGAAAAGGACAGAUCUGGGAGACAGGUGUCCUGGUUCUGGUCCUGGCCACUGCCAAUUUAC